UUGAACGCUGGCGGCAGGCCUCACACAUGCCAGUCGAACGGUAACAGGAAGCAGCUUGCUGCUUUGCUGACGAGUGGCGGACGGGUGAGUAAUGUCUGGGAAACUGCCUGAUGGAGGGGGAUAACUACUGGAAACGGUAGCUAAUACCGCAUAACGUCGCAAGACCAAAGAGGGGGACCUUAGGGCCUCUUGCCAUCGGAUGUGCCCAGAUGGGAUUAGCUAGUAGGUGGGGUAACGGCUCACCUAGGCGACGAUCCCUAGCUGGUCUGAGAGGAUGACCAGCCACACUGGAACUGAGACACGGUCCAGACUCCUACGGGAGGCAGCAGUGGGGAAUAUUGCACAAUGGGCGCAAGCCUGAUGCAGCCAUGCCGCGUGUAUGAAGAAGGCCUUCGGGUUGUAAAGUACUUUCAGCGGGGAGGAAGGGAGUAAAGUUAAUACCUUUGCUCAUUGACGUUACCCGCAGAAGAAGCACCGGCUAACUCCGUG
rnacentral:rRNA from 1 species